CAAGGCGACGACGGGUAGCCGGCCUGAGAGGGCGACCGGCCACACUGGGACUGAGACACGGCCCAGACUCCUACGGGAGGCAGCAGUGGGGAAUAUUGCACAAUGGGCGAAAGCCUGAUGCAGCGACGCCGCGUGAGGGAUGACGGCCUUCGGGUUGUAAACCUCUUUCAGCAGGGAAGAAGCGAAAGUGACGGUACCUGCAGAAGAAGCGCCGGCUAACUACGUGCCACAGGCCGCGGC
rnacentral:rRNA from 1 species